CUCAAAUCAAAUUUGUUUCUUCUUUAUCAUGUAUAUAAUGAUAGAUUCAUUCACUCUUUCUUCUUCUCAAAUUCUAAAUCGACUCCAAUUUCAUUGGAGCAAAGCUUCCCGACUUCAAAUUUUGUACCUCAAAAUCGGAUGCUAUCACAUCUUCAUAUUUACUUAUUUCAACAACUAUAAUUUUCUUGAUUAAAUUAAAUUGGUAACAUAAUCUUCAUUUGGGCCCCAAAUGAAGAUGAACUUAUUGCGAUGGCAAACGCUUUAUUGGGGAGCGGCGAGUUCAACCCUUUUAAAGAAAAUCAUAAAAAGACAACCUGUCGACAGAAUUUUUAAUUCAAAUACUGAAAUCACUGGUGUUGUUUUGACUAGAAAAAGACAUUAAAGUGGUUCUAGUGAGCUUAGGCUCAAGUGGAGUGUUAACGGCCAAACUUUUUUAAAAUUCUCGUUGCCAAAACAAUUCAAAGAAUUGUAGUGAACAAAUAUUCAAUGAUGUUAUGGAUAACAAUUGAUAUUCUGUAUUUUAAAAAAAUGUAGAAGCAAUCUUGUCUUUGCUAUGCAUUUUCCUUCACUUUAUGCUUCAGUUGUGAGGUUUACUGAGGUUGGUGAUUUCUUGGUUGGUGGAACACUCUCAUCAAUUUGUGCAAGAUUAAAUAUUAUGCAAAGUAUGUCUGUUGGCAUUACAAUUGCUAAUGAUGUUGUUGAGGUGGAGUCAAAUCUCCUCCUGCUUUCAAUUUAGCUACCAUUGCUGGUAAGAUUUUAUCUAUACAUUUAAUUAUAGUCUUUAUAGUACUGACGCUUUAAAUCGGAUUUUUCUUUGGUGUUUGACACAUGUCAGUGUCCGACACCAACACGGUAUCUGACACAUGAUAUUAUAUUUAUCAUUUUUUUAUUUUCUACAAUUAUUUCAAGAAGACGACACAAGUGAUAAGGAUGACGUAGGUGAUGAACAUCAAGAGAACACAUAGGUGAUGAACUUCAAGAGGACGACAGGUGAUGAAGAGGAUGAUAGAGAUGACGAUGAGUUCAACACACUUAAAUGAGUUGGAUGAUGUUGUUUUAAGCUUGUACUUAAGCAUUAAACCUAGAAAACUAUGUAUUUUGUCAUUUUUCUAAACUUAUCUACCAGCAUAUAUAAAAACUGGUUAUCGUCAAUUUUACAUUA